UCCAAAUAUCCAAAUAUCCAUUUCCUGCCUAACUGCGGAAAUCAGGCGCUCGAUUACACUUGCAUUUCGUACCUUUCCAGACCAAUUACAGCCGUUGAUUUCCGAACACGAUCUGUCCUUCGCGACGAUGGAAUCGCCGGCAGAUGAUCGCCGGUGCAAGCGCAGCGAUGGUCAAAAGUGGCGGUGCAGGGAAACGGCGUCGUCGGGGAAGUCAAAAGCACUUGGCGCAGCUCAAGAAUAAGAAAAUUCAGAGAGAAAGAUCAGACGGAGACAGCGGUUCCGAUAAUCCUGUGAAGAUUUGCAAAUUCAAGGAGGAGAAGCCUAACAAGAAGACGGAGCCGCGUGUGAGCUUGAUGUGCCACCAGUGUCAGCGGAGCGACAAGAGUGGCGUUGUCCACUGUUCUAAUUGUACGACCAAGCGAUUUUGCUCUGAGUGCAUUGAAAGAUGGUACCCUGGGAAGACGAGAGAGGAAAUAGCGAAGAAAUGCCCAUUUUGUUGUCGCAACUGCAACUGCAAAGCUUGCUUGCGCGAGUUUACUCUGCACUUUAAUCUGAAACUACCAAGUUUUGAGUCUAAUCUCUCUCUCUCUCUCUCUCUCUCUCUCUCUCUCCCCUUAUGGUUUUAUUUGUUUUGACAGCCUUGCAACAUAAAAGUUGAGCCCAGUGUCAAAUUACAGAGGCUGAAGUACUUGCUAUAUAAAGCUUUACCUGUUCUGAGGCAUAUUCACACUGAGCAGAGCUUUGAACUAGAGAUUGAAGCCAAAAUACGAGGUCUUCAGUUGAGUGAAAUGGACAUAACGAGAACUAAAAUAGACCAAAGUGAGCGUAUAAUGUAUUGGUAUGUCCAGGCUCCCUCACAAUUAAACUGAGAAGUGCAUUUUGUUUAGCAUCUUUUAUCGAAUAUCUAUUGUCCAAAAACUGCAAAUAAAAACAGAAA